GAUCCUGGCUCAGGAUGAACGCUGGCGGCGUGCCUAAUACAUGCAAGUCGAACGCGAGCACUUGUGCUCGAGUGGCGAACGGGUGAGUAAUACAUAAGUAACCUGCCCUAGACAGGGGGAUAACUAUUGGAAACGAUAGCUAAGGCCGCAUAGGUACGGACACUGCAUGGUGACCGUAUUAAAAGUGCCUCAAAGCACUGGUAGAGGAUGGACUUAUGGCGCAUUAGCUGGUUGGG
rnacentral:rRNA from 1 species